GGGCUCGUAGCUCAAUUGGCUAGAGCGCAGCCCUUGCAAGGCUGAGGCUUCGGGUUCAAGUCCCGACGAGUCCA
rnacentral:tRNA from 1 species